rnacentral:tRNA from 1 species
UCCCUGGUGGCUCAGUGGUAAAGAAUCUGCCUGCCAAUGCAGGAGACACAGGUUUGAUCCCUGACCCAGGAA